UACGGAGGGUGCAAGCGUUAUCCGGAUUUACUGGGUUUAAAGGGUGUGUAGGCGGACUUUUAAGUCAGGGGUGAAAUCCCGAGGCUCAACCUCGGAACUGCCUUUGAUACUAUUGGUCUUGAAUCUUGUUGAGGUGGGCGGAACGGGUCAUGUAGCGGUGAAAUGCAUAGAUAUGACCCGGAACACCGAUUGCGAAGGCAGCCCGCUAAGCAAGCAUUGACGCUGAGGCACGAAAGCGUGGGGAGCGAACAGG
rnacentral:rRNA from 1 species